rnacentral:rRNA from 1 species
ACGGAGGGUGCAAGCGUUGUUCGGAAUUACUGGGCGUAAAGGGCGCGUAGGCGGUUUGGUAAGUCAGAUGUGAAAUCCCUGGGCUCAACCUGGGAAUUGCAUCUGAUACUGCCUGACUCGAGUACGGCAGAGGGUAGUGGAAUUCCUGGUGUAGAGGUGAAAUUCGUAGAUAUCAGGAGGAACACCGGUGGCGAAGGCGGCUACCUGGACCGAUACUGACGCUGAGGCGCGAAAGCGUGGGGAGCAAACAG